UACGGGGGGGGUAAGCGUUGUUCGGAAUUACUGGGCGUAAAGGGCUCGUAGGCGGCCAACUAAGUCGGACGUGAAAUCCCUCAGCUUAACCGGGGAACUGCGUCUGAUACUGGAUGGCUUGAGUUCGGGAGAGGGAUGCGGAAUUCCAGGUGUAGCGGUGAAAUGCGUAGAUAUCUGGAGGAACACCGGUGGCGAAGGCGGCAUCCUGGACCGACACUGACACUGAGGAGCGAAAGCCAGGGGAGCAAACGGG
rnacentral:rRNA from 1 species